UUGGUGCUUGCAUCAUGAUUUACAUUUGAGUGAGUGGCGAACUGGUGAGUAACACGUGGGAAACCUGCCCAGAAGCGGGGGAUAACACCUGGAAACAGAUGCUAAUACCGCAUAACAACUUGGACCGCAUGGUCCGAGCUUGAAAGAUGGCUUCGGCUAUCACUUUUGGAUGGUCCCGCGGCGUAUUAGCUAGAUGGUGGGGUAACGGCUCACCAUGGCAAUGAUACGUAGCCGACCUGAGAGGGUAAUCGGCCACAUUGGGACUGAGACACGGCCCAAACUCCUACGGGAGGCAGCAGUAGGGAAUCUUCCACAAUGGACGAAAGUCUGAUGGAGCAACGCCGCGUGAGUGAAGAAGGGUUUCGGCUCGUAAAACUCUGUUGUUAAAGAAGAACAUAUCUGAGAGUAACUGUUCAGGUAUUGACGGUAUUUAACCAGAAAGCCACGGCUAACUACGUGCCAGCAGCCGCGGUAAUACGUAGGUGGCAAGCGUUGUCCGG
rnacentral:rRNA from 2 species